rnacentral:rRNA from 1 species
UACGGAGGGUGCGAGCGUUGUCCGGAAUCACUGGGCGUAAAGGGCGCGUAGGCGGCUCAUGAAGGCUGUGGUGAAAGUCCGGGGCUCAACCUCGGAUCGGCCGUGGCGACUCGUGGGCUGGAGCACUGUAGAGGCGGGUGGAAGUCCGGGUGUAGCGGUGGAAUGCGUAGAGAUCCGGAAGAACACCAGUGGCGAAGGCGGCCCGCUGGGCAGUGGCUGACGCUGAAGCGCGACAGCGUGGGGAGCAAACAGG